rnacentral:tRNA from 1 species
ACUCUCUUAGUAUAAUUAGUACUGCUGACUUCCAAUCAGCCAGAUUCAGCUAUAACCUGAAAAAGAGUA